UUGGGGGCUGUCCCUAGGCUUAAAACAACUGUCCCGUUGCUUCCUAUAGACCAAAAUCUUCGAAUGCACUGGAAAUACAAAAGUAGAGUGUCUCUAGCCCUCUGGUUGCUAGUGAUGAAGGCAAAGUGGAUAUUCAGAGAACAGUCAGAACUUCAUCUGGGAGGAAACAUGGAGUGUGAUACUGGAGAGUUAGAGUUUAACAAAAUGGAUUGUGUCA
rnacentral:lncRNA from 1 species